rnacentral:rRNA from 1 species
AGAGUUUGAUCCUGGCUCAGGACGAACGCUGGCGGCGUGCCUAAUACAUGCAAGUCGAGCGAACCUUUAAAAGCUUGCUUUUAAAGGUUAGCGGCGGACGGGUGAGUAACACGUGGGCAACCUGCCUGUAAGACUGGGAUAACUUCGGGAAACCGGAGCUAAUACCGGAUAAUUCUUUUCUACACAUGUAGAAAAGCUGAAAGACGGCUUCGGCUGUCACUUACAGAUGGGCCCGCGGCGCAUUAGCUAGUUGGUGAGGUAACGGCUCACCAAGGCAACGAUGCGUAGCCGACCUGAGAGGGUGAUCGGCCACACUGGGACUGAGACACGGCCCAGACUCCUACGGGAGGCAGCAGUAGGGAAUCUUCCGCAAUGGACGAAAGUCUGACGGAGCAACGCCGCGUGAGUGAUGAAGGUUUUCGGAUCGUAAAACUCUGUUGUUAGGGAAGAACAAGUACGAGAGUAACUGCUCGUACCUUGACGGUACCUAACCAGAAAGCCACGGCUAACUACGUGCCAGCAGCCGCGGUAAUACGUAGGUGGCAAGCGUUGUCCGGAAUUAUUGGGCGUAAAGCGCGCGCAGGCGGUUCCUUAAGUCUGAUGUGAAAGCCCACGGCUCAACCGUGGAGGGUCAUUGGAAACUGGGGAACUUGAGUGCAGGAGAGAAGAGUGGAAUUCCACGUGUAGCGGUGAAAUGCGUAGAGAUGUGGAGGAACACCAGUGGCGAAGGCGACUCUUUGGCCUGUAACUGACGCUGAGGCGCGAAAGCGUGGGGAGCAAACAGGAUUAGAUACCCCGGUAGUCC